rnacentral:rRNA from 1 species
UGGUAUUCUUGAUUCUAAUAUAAAAGCUUUGGUAGUAAACAGCUAUAGGCUCGAAAACUAAAGGAUUUGGCGGUAUUUUAGUCCAUUUAGAGGAACCUGUCCGAGAAUCGAUAAACCACGAAGAAUCUUACUCUAUUUAGUAUAACUCAGUCUGUAUACCGCCAUUACCAGGCGUGUAUAUAAAUCCACGCCUUGAGAGGUUGGUUAAUCUACAAAAUUAGGUCAAGGUGCAGCCUAUAAUAGAGGAUCGAGAUGGGUUACAAUUUUUUAUUUGUAAAUAUCUAGAAAAUAACGAAAAAUUGAGUUUAAAAUUCAAUUUGAAGGCGGAUUUAAAAGUAAUAUUUGUUUAAUAAGAUAAUAUGAGUAUGGCCAUAGAAUAAGUA